rnacentral:lncRNA from 1 species
CAGAGGGUGUGCCUGGGAUCACUCUGAGUGAGUGGGGCAGUAAAUCCCUGGGUUGUGCAAGGCUCUGGAGCACAGCAAUGUUCACACAUCACGCCAUCGGAGCCUGGGGAGCUGCGUGUGUGAUAAGGAGGGAAAGAAGGACUUCAGCCACUGGGCAGGUGGAUGCAUCUCUCCAGAAGCUUUGCCAGGCUGGAUGCCCCUGACCUGGCUUCUCUUGAAGGAUACUCCUCCAGUUUGUCUCUCCCUGAUGCUGCAGCCUGGAGACAAGUGAUUUCUGCAAGGAGGCUGUGCAAACACCGUGUGUGGAAAGCAGGGCAGGAGGUGGUCAGGAGCAACAGGAACAUCCAGAACCCACUCCUGACUCCCUCGUUGUGCUUUCUGUUGGGUUCUGCCCUGUUCCAUUCCAGGGGGAAGCUGUUCCCAGGCUCUGGAGGUGCAGAAAAUAAACGCAGGAGCAGCUCUGCUGGCUGAGCUAAUGACAGAGCUGAAGAAGUGUCAACACCGAAAUCGCUCGGGGUGGCAGCAAUGGUGUUCACAGGGACAUGGGAGCCACAGAAAAUACUCUCCUCGAGGCUGCUCACCCCUGACUAAACUGUGUUUGCAGCAGGAAAAGCCAAAACCUUGCCCAGAGGCAGCGCGGUGCUCCAGAUGAGCCCCAUGCCUACUCCAGUUACAGUGGGUGAGGUAAUGCUCUGCUCUCCCUGGCUCCUCUGUCCUCUCCUGCUGCCAGCCCAGUCUCAGGCUGGCAUAUUUGCUAUUUAUUUGUUAUUUUUUAUUUAUUUUAUUUAUUAGCUGUUUGCUAUUUCCUCCUUAUUUAUUUAUUUGCAUUUUGCUAUUUUUUUAAUCAGGGGACAACACCACCCGUGGUGGAGGAAUCCAACCCAAUUCCUGAUGGCUCCGUGUGUCAUUUUCAUUCUUGGCAGGGGGAGUUCGUCUUCUGUGACUUCACCUUCCAUAAAGUUUGAGUGGAAUUCACCUAAAAUGCCCGUGAGCUCCGUGGAGGGAGGUUGGCAGUGAUGAGCAGUUCCUCUGAGGUCCCUUGGACACCUGAGUUUGGGAUGAAUCACCCUCUGGAGAGGAAACGGCCUCAAGCUGAGCCAGGGCAGGCUGAGAUUGGAUAGUAGGAAAAAUUUCUUCAUGGAAAGGGUUAUCAAGUGUUGGGACUGGCUGCCCAGGGAAUGGUGAAGUCACCAUCCCUGCAGAGAUUUAAAAACGUGUGGAUGUGGCACGUUGGGUAGUGGUGGGCUUGGCAGCACUGGGGAAUGGGUGGUCUUGGAGGUCCUUUCCAAUCUUAAUAAUUCUAUGGCAUGCCAAUUUUUCUUCAGGGCUUGCAGAGAUACUGAUUUUUUCCAGUCCAUGUGUGAAAUGUUAGUUUGGGAUGGUGAAAAUCAGGGUGACUGAGUGAUGGGCUGUCUGAUGCAACCUCGUGGUUCUCUGACUGACAAAAUCUGGAUGAACGUGUGGAAACCAG